rnacentral:rRNA from 1 species
UAGUGGCAGACGGGUGAGUAAUGCGUAGGAAUCUACCUAGUAGUACGGAAUAGCCAUUAGAAAUGGUGGGUAAUACUGUAUAAUCCCCGAGGGGGAAAGAUUUAUCGCUAUUAGAUGAGCCUACGUUAGAUUAGCUAGUUGGUGAGGUAAUGGCUUACCAAGGCUAUGAUCUAUAGCUGGUCUGAGAGGACGAUCAGCCACACUGGAACUGAGAUACGGUCCAGACUCCUACGGGAGGCAGCAGUGGGGAAUAUUGGACAAUGGGCGAAAGCCUGAUCCAGCUAUGCCGCGUGAGUGAAGAAGGCCUUCGGGUUGUAAAACUCUUUCAAUAGGGAAGAUAAUGCCGGGUACCUAUAA